rnacentral:SRP_RNA from 1 species
GCCUGUAAUCCAGUCACUGGGAGGCUGAGGUUGGUGGAUCGAGUGAGCUGAGGAGCUCUGGGCUGUACCGCGCUAUGUUGAACAGGUGUCCUCACUACGAUCGAUAUGGUGCUCCUGGGGGAGUCUGGUACCACCAGGUCGGCUAUAGAGGGGUGCACUAGCCCAGGUUGGAAACUAAGCAGGUCAAAGCCCACAUGCUGUCCAGCAGUGGGAUACUGCCUGUGAGUAUGUGUUAAAAAUAUCUACUUCAUGGUGGCAACUGUCUCUGCGAUACUUACUUUUU